rnacentral:tRNA from 1 species
GCGGAUGUGGCGGAAUGGGUAGACGCGCCAGAUUUAGGUUCUGGUGCCCUUCGGGGCGUGGGGGUUCAAGUCCCUCCAUCCGCACCA